AUGCUCAGGGCUUGUGUGAUCUCCUUCGGCAUGAAGUGGGAGGAUUGUCUUCCUUAUGCUGAAUUCUCCUACAACAACAGUUUUCAAGCAAGUUCGAGCAAGGCCCCAUUUGAAAUUCUGUAUGGCAGGAAGUGCCAUACCCCUCUCAACUGGUCCAAAACCGGUGAACGUCAGCUUUUGGGUAAUGACUUAAUCAGAGAGGCAGAGGAAAUGUGCAAAGUCCUUCGAGAUAACGUCAAAGCAGCCCAAUCCCGUCAGAAGAGCUACUAUGAUAGUAAGCACCGUGAUUUGGCUUUCGAGAUCGGAGAUCAUGUUUACCUCCACGUCUCUCCUAUGAAAGGUACUCGUUGCUUCGGUAUCAAAGGGAAGCUUGCCCCCAGAUACGUGGGACCUUUCAAGAUUGUCAGCAAGAGAGGCGAUCUCGCCUAUGAACUCGAGCUUCCUUCAAACUUUGCAAAUGUUCAUGACGUGUUCCAUGUCUCUCAGCUUCGAAAGUGCUUCAAGACUCCUGACUGCACCGUCAACUUUGAGGACACUGACCUCCAAGAAGAUCUCUCUUAU
rnacentral:rRNA from 1 species